UCUCCAAUGGCUCAGUAGAGCCUGAGGCUCUUAAUCUCAGGGUUGUGGGUUCAAGUGCCACGUUGGGUGAA